AUGCUCGCUUCGGCAGCACAUAUACUAAACUUGGAACGCUACAGAGAAGAUUAGGAUGGCCCCUGCACAAGGAUAACAUGAAGCAUUCCAUAUUAAA
rnacentral:snRNA from 1 species